ACAUAGGUUACAAUUAUAUUAGCAUGACCAAUUAUGCAAAUUAGGUGAUGACGUCAUUUAGCGACUUUUAGGACAACCAAUAGCGAUUUUCCUUACUGAGGAGUUGGCAACACUGCCUGGGUGGCUCUGAAGAAAUAAGGCAGCAUGUUGAAUAGGAAAGCCACACACUCUUCCUGUCAUAAUAACCUCUGAACUUAGCCACUGGCUCCCAAAUUGCAGCCUGGGGACCUGCAGGGGUUCUUAAGGGACUUUCCAAAAUACUACUUUUUUUUUUGGCUCAAGAAAACCGAAAGACUAAAUUCAGCAUUAAGCCAGAGGAUUCUUUUAGCUGAAAACACAGGCGGUGGGACACCUAGGACUUCAAAGUAAUGACACUUAAAGGAGCACUUAUUGUGAACUUUCUUCAGAAUAAAAAUCACCCUACAUGACGUGUGAAAUCUAAUGUCCUCAUUUUACCAUCAACCCCCCCCCCCCCCGAAAAAACACUAUAAAAUAACAACAACAACAAAAAAAAAAAAAAAUGUAGAAAACUUACAUUCAGUGUGUGCUACUUUGGAAUUUAAAUAAGACGCAUAAUAUCCGCGUAAUGCAUUUCACCUCUAACUGGAUCCAUACAGUGCUAAGUGAUAAAUGAAAAUGGAUUACAAGCUUUAUUCCCACUGAGCCUCACAGUUCGCUGAGAGGCCGGGCAAACAUGGAACUACUCUGCUAGAAAGGUAUGGGGCGUAUCUUAUGGCUGCUCGUGGAAAUGCUUGUAAGAGAGGAGGGAAGGAGGAGGCCCUCCCUGCUCUCCAUUUUCCUCCGUUUGUCGGCAUCCGUCUCCCCGCUGCUGGGAGUGGAGGGCGAAGGCCGAAUGCUAUGACAAUACUAUUGCACUGCUUCAGCGAUGGUACAGUAGUGCAACAUCGUCAAAGCAGCUGACCUCUGCGCGCGCGCGCGCGCACACACACACACACACACACACACACACACACACACACACACUGUAAAGACAGGGCAGCAGUUUUAACUGUGACACAGCCGUAGCUUUACAACUAGCACUCCAGUCCACUUAAAUCUAACAUUUUGUCCUGUUACAUCUAAGAUUUGGACGAACAGGAAGAGGGGACCGGCAAAUGGAGGGAAGAUGGGGUGUGUGCGUGCGUGUGGUGGGGGUGUCAGCCAAUGCCCUUUUAAUAUUGCACUGCUCAUCUGAUUUCACAGUAGUACAACAGAAAAAGGGCUUUGGACAACACGGCUGCGCCUCUGUCCGUGCGGUCUCCAUUGAACAGCCUACAUGCAAGCCGUCAGCUCCAACCUUCCUAAACUAUGGAGACAGGCCAGUGGCUCAGCGCGAGCCUCCACACGGCUAUCGGGAUUAACAGGUUGCAAACGCGGCCGUGCAAAAAGCGAGCAGGCUUUUUACAAUAGCGUGCGGUUAUACAGCGUAAAAUACACAGGCCUAAGGAGGAAAGCAUAUAAUCUAUGCAAAUUGGAAAGACGUUGUUACGAUGGGUCCUGUGUAACACAGAACUGAUGACAGCACAGCAUUUCCUGAUGCUGGUUUCAUGUGUGCAGCUUUCCUAUCAUUUGUUCCGGUCAGCAUUAAAAGCUGCAAGACGUUGGAACGAAAAAAAAAGAAAACCCUAGAAGCACCGAGGCCUCGGCAGCGCGCGGACUUCGCAGGGAGGAAACGAGGGUGGAGAAGACGUAUAUAGGGCAAAGAGCAAAUUCCGCGAUACAAUACCACAAACCUUCAUUUAAUACCUACUAUUCCUGGCCCUUUAGCCAAAGUGGCCAUUUGAAACCCUCCUCGUUUGGGAAACACAGGGGCGGGGCCUUUGAUUGGAGGGAGGGGAGGGAAGGGGGCUUGUUAUUUUCACUGUUGAGACAAGUUUACAAUCAGCUGAAGAGGCUCGCUUUCCCGUCUGAACUCUCACAUCACACACCGCGUCACGCGCCAACUAACGGGAGCUUCAGCAGCAGCGCGAGCUAACGCACGCGGCUCUCCCUCUGCUGCUGAAGAACGGGCUAAAACGGCCCCAAAGAAACGCUACAUGUCUGCUUUAACGGCAAAAACGCCUCUUAACUUAUUUUAACCACAAGGACAUGCCGUCUUGUGUGUAAUUUGUGUGAUUAUAUAUCUCACACACGUUUCUUCAGUUCCUUCAUGUUGUCUGCCACAUAACCAAAGCCCAAUCAUCCACAAACUUGUUUGGAAAGAUUUGCGCGAAGCCUCGGUCGUUCUAAAGUUGGAGGUGUGUAUUGUAGCAUUCUUCCACUACAACUUCAGCUGGACUCGCACUAACGGUUGCUUUGCGGCUGCGCUGGGCCCCACUGACAGCCGUGGCGGACUCCCGGGUGUCCCCGGAGCUCUUCUGAAGGCUGCAGACUAGUUCUGAUCUGUGUGCCAUGACGUGCGGUAGAUGCUAUGUGAGGAACGCGCACUCACUUUCGCCUCUGGUUGACAGUCUGGGAGGUGUGUGGGUUUGCAGGAAGUUCCAUGCCCAUAUUUAGUGGUGACGACCGCCGUUCGGGUCCACACACAUCUGAGCUGUGUUCAAAGAUUACACUUGUGUUUUCUUAUUUUUCUUUGUUCCUUGGAAAAAUAUCCACAAACAACCUCCAGCUGUGAGCCUCACUCUCAAAUUCUGGCCUUUCUUUGGAUCAAAUCCAAAUAGAUGCAAGUUCGGGGAUUUUAACUACGCUUCCCCUUAAGAAGCAAUAAAGGAAAGACUUCAUCUUAAUUGGUGUAAAACUCAUUUUAAAUGCUGCGAGUGAAUUUCUUUGUCUUGAAUAUAAUGGAUCUUUAAAUCUGUACAGUUUCUUAUUUGAGCAAACACAAAGUGUAUGGCCAAACCACCCUCAUGGCCACAGAACUGAAAUUUCACUUGUAAUUAAACUGGGGGAAAAAUCUAAAAACACACAAAUAACAAAGAAAGAACACCAAAUAACAAACACCAGAGUGAAUGUGAGAGGAAUAUGAAAUGAGGAAUACGCAAAGCGUAUUUCUAGUGUUCUGACUGAAAAACUGAGAAGACAUAUGCCAUUCAUUUUAAAGGUGCUGUUGGUGGCAGUAAUUCAUCUGCACACACACACACACACAAGAGAGAACAUGGAGAAAGUCCUUCUAUCUGCACAAAGAAAUCUUUUUUUUUCUAUGGUAUGUCCUUACACUAUGUACA